ensembl:lncRNA novel transcript
GUGAAAUGGGAAGGAGUGAGGGUGGGGGGAGAUGGUGCGUGGAGACCCCGUUGUUGACUGGCAGGUCAGAGGUCAGCUUAGACCAGCAUAAAGACUCCACACUCUCAAAGCUGGGUGGGAACUCUGAGCCAGCACACAGCGGAGUUGAUCCUGGGCUGAAUAAUCCAGAGUGAGGAGUUGGACGGGACUGGGAGUGAUGAAAUCCAGAGGGGAACCUGGAGUCAGCAGUUAGGAGGGCCCCGCCUUCCCCAGUGAGAAGGUGACCAUGCAGCACCUCGGUGACCGCCUGGCCUCCUACCUAGACAAGGUGCGUGCUCUGGAGGAGGCCAACGCCGACCUGGAAGUGAAGAUCCGUGACUGGUACCAGAGGCAGCGGCCCAGUGAGAUCAAAGACUAUAGUCCCUACUUCAAGACCAUCGAGGACCUGAGGCACAAGAUCAUUGCGGCCACCAUUGAGAAUGCGCAGCCCAUUUUGCAGAUUGACAAUGCCAGGCUGGCAGCUGAUGACUUCAGGACCAAUUAGGAGCACGAGCUGGCCCUGCGGCUGACUGUGGAGGCUGGCGUCAAUGGCCUGUGCCGGGUGUUGGACGAGCUGACCCUGGCCAGGACUGACCUGGAGAUGCAGAUAGAAGGCCUGAAGGAGGAGCUGGCCUACCUGAGGAAGAACCACUAGGAGGAGAUGCUUGCUCUGCGAGGUCAGACCGGUGGAGAAGUGAACGUGGAGACGGAUGCCGCACCUGGCGUGGACCUGAGCUGCAUCCUGAAUGAGAUGCGCAACCAGUACGAGCAGAUGGCAAAGCACAACCACAGAGAUGCUGGGCCUGGUUCCUGAGCAAGACCAAGGAGCUGAACAAAAAAGUGGCCUCCAGCAGUGAACUGGUACAGAGCAGCCGCAGUGAGGUGACGGAGCUCCAGAGGGUGUUCCAGGGCCUGGAGAUGGAGCUGCAGUCCCAGCUCAGCAUAGUAUGAAGGACCCGGCACAGCAGCAGCCCCCAGGUCACCAGUAAUGGCC